rnacentral:lncRNA from 1 species
UGAAGCUGAAAUCGCUCAGAAGAAUCAGCUUAAGUGGAGCUCUAGAGAGGAAUCUGAGUUGGACAACACCUCUCGGCAUGCAUCCCUGAACCUCGAUCCUUCUGCAAAUGAAGCCCAAUUGAUGACAAAUGAACCUAGAAGCCAAAGUAAUUUGGUUGAAACUUGUAAGGACCAAUUAGAUUUAAAUUGCCAACCUGACCAAGAAAAUGAAGUAGAAGGGGUGCCUAACCGAGUGAGCAUGAUGAGUCUAGUUCAAAUCGCAAGCCUACCAUUGGAGACAUAUUUGAAGCAGAAUGGUCUUACAAGUUUGUUACCAGAACUACAGGCAAGUUCAGCAUCACAUGCACCAGCCCAAGGUACAAAUGAGAUGGAAGG